UGCACGUGGAAUACUAAGGCCAUCACGAGAGGACAAUAUCGUUCUGCAACGCUUUCCAUCGGGGUUAAUGAUGACAACGCUGUCUGUACCACUACUGGAAACAUAAAGGUUUUCAUUGUUGUCUACAGAUAUACCCUGUCGAUAUUGCAGAUUUUGUGUAUCCUUAAAUUCCCAUUUUAGAUUUCCAUGCAUAUCAUAGCAUGUAACAGAAUUGUUGUCUUUAUUU
rnacentral:lncRNA from 1 species